UGGGGAAUAUUGCCCAAUGGGCGAAAGCCUGAUGCAGCAACGCCGCGUGAGCGAUGAAGGCCUUCGGGUCGUAAAGCUCUGGCCUCAAGGAAGAUAAUGACGGUACUUGAGGAGGAAGCCCCGGCUAACUACGUGCCAGCAGCCGCGGUAAUACGUAGGGGGCUAGCGUUAUCCGGAAUUAAUGGGCGUACAGGGUGCGUAGGUGGUUUCUUAAGUCAGAGGUGAAAGGCUACGGCUCAACCGUAGUAAGCCUUUGAAACUGGGAAACGUGAGUGCAGGAGAGGAGAGUGGAAUUCCGAGUGUAGCGGUGAAAUGCGUAGAUAUUAGGAGGAACACCAGUUGCGAAGGCGGCUCUCUGGACUGUAACUGACACUGAGGCACGAAAGCGUGGGGAGCAAACAGGGUUAGAUACCCGUGGAGUC
rnacentral:rRNA from 1 species